GACCUAGAGAGGUGAUGGUCUGGUGGAAAGUGAGGCUUUCUCCAAGAAGGAAGGAAGACUGGGGACCUCCUUCCUGUACUACAGGCAGUCCUGGACUUAUGACAAACAUCACUUAUGACCUCUGUAAACUAUGACAGUGUUUCAAGGUUCCAACAGGGUUUCAACUUUACAACACUGGACACAACAGCCUCUACCUGUCUGAAGAACAUCAUAAUUCACCCCCAAACUCUAGAGAAACCAAAAGCAUACAACAGUAUGUAUUAAAAGCAACCAAGCUAGUGGUGCCUCUUGCACGUAUUUAAUACUUUAACACCUGAGCCCUAAUGGAAAAACAUCGCAAAAUAUCCUAAAAAUAUAUGUAGCCAGGGCAUACACAGGCCUAGGAAGAGAAGAUGCCUGAUCAGUAGCAUCUUCUGCAAAGAUUGGGCUUGUGAAGCAGCUAAAGAAAAGAGCUGUCAGCACCUCAGGCACUGUGUGAUGGCUCAAUUAACAGAGGACUACUCUUGUGACAUGCUGCCAUCAUCUGCUGCAGGAAAAACAAAGGUUUUGUCCCAGAAUGUCUCUCUACUGCUCCGUGUCUGCCCCAGGAAGGAGGAUGCACUUGGUGUUGUCUCUGAAGUAAGGCCUUGCUACAGCUGUCAGUGUGAAGUGAUUAUUUUGUGAUUGUUCUAGAAAUGCACACAACAAGCACAAGAUUCUUCAAAGUUUUCUCUUGCAAGAAUAAGGAAAACUAUAAAAGCAAGCUGAUCAGAAAACCAGUUAGAGGAGAUUUUCAUCAGAUGACUUUAUCAUACAUAAUGAUGAUUUUAAUAAAUUCUAACUAGCAGAAAUGGGAAUUAUUUUGCCAGUUUGAUGUUGGCAAUUGUGGUCAUUUCCACAUUGGUUUUUUGUUUAAGUAUCAGUAUGCUCCACAUCCAGAACUAAAAAGUAGGGUUCAAAGAUUUUCACGUUUUCUUUAUGGCAUGCAACACUCUAAACUGUGGCCAUUUUAGAUUACGGCAAUUUAUACAUAGUCUUUUGCGAGGCAACGUGCUGGAGAUUUGGUAUGUCAGAGCAGACUUGAUCAAUCGAGUCCGCUCUGUGUGUGAGCUGAUGCACACUGCGCUGCAUUGCUUGCAGUU